GUAGUCUCGCACAGAUGCAUAUCAAUAAGCGGAGGAAAAGAAACUAACAAGGAUUCCCUUAGUAACGGCGAGUGAAGCGGGAAGAGCUCAAAUUUGAAAUCUUCAAGGUUUUACCUUGACGAAUUGUAGUUUAAAGAAGUGUUAUCUGUUGAAGUUUUGGUAAAAGUUCUUUGGAAUAGGACAUCAUAGAGGGUGAGAAUCCCGUAUUUGACCAUUAUUUUCAGCUGUGUGAUACACUUUCAAAGAGUCGGAUUGUUUGGGAAUGCAGUCCAAAAUGGGUGGUAAAUUUCAUCUAAAGCUAAAUAUUGGCGAGAGACCGAUAGCGAACAAGUACCGUGAGGGAAAGAUGAAAAGAACUUUGAAAAGAGAGUUAAACAGUACGUGAAAUUGUCAAAAGGGAAGCGUUUGACACCAGUGUUGUUUUUCUGAAAAUCAAUUAAAGAACUGUUUAUGCUAAGUUGUUUAGACUUUAUCAGCUAACUGUUUAGUUUUGAGCUUUUCUUUAAUGCACUUUUCAGUUAACAAGUCAACAUCAAUUUCUUUUGCUGUAAAAAAGCUUGAGGAAGGUGGCUUGAGAUUCGUCUUAAGUGUCUAUAGCCUCUUGCCUAUGCAGUCGGAGAGAUUGAGGUCUGCAGCGUAGAUCCUUCGGGGCUAAAUGCAUUUGUGCUAAGUUAUAGCAUUUUAUAGACAACUUGUUGACUAUGAUUUGUCUUGUAGCUUACUCGCUUAUGUUAUUUUACCUACGCUUAGGAUGUUGAUGUGAUACUGCGAGCA
rnacentral:rRNA from 1 species